UUAAGGCAAUUAGUUGCCUGAAACAGUUUUACUCACUUAUGGGACUCUGGUAAACAUGAUGCUGAAACGGUUGAUGAAAAGUAGCAAGUAAAUGAAACUUUCCCUCUGACUUGGACUUCCUGAUCAUAGAAGUCACACAGAUUAAACUUUCUGGUUAAAAGUCUGAGGAUUUGACUUACAUGACCUUAGCCCAAAUUUUUUGUUGAACAUUUUCUCUUAUAUUAGAUAAUCUCUGCCCAUUGAGUCUUUAUGUGGACUUUGGGCUUUAUUACAGGUACUGUUAGUAUCAGUGUUACUGACUGUGGUUAGGCCCUUGCUCUCUGCAAGCGAGCUCCUCUGUCAGCAGUGCAGGGGGAAGGGGUUCUACAAUCAUCCUCUGCCUCCUUCCCUGCUGGGACUCAGGUGGUGGUAUUAACCUGUCAUUUCUUCUAACAGAAGUUUUACAGUGGUAAGUGGAGAAGCUGGAGUAAUCUAAAGUAAAAAUACCAGCGCAGUGCCUUUCUUCAUGUGAAAACAUCUGUUAUAAUAGGGUUUAAAAUGCCAGCGAGGGAUGGCAGACAUUUUUAACGUGCAUGGGGCACUCUUACUAUACUAAAGAAAUAAAACCAACCUCUGUGAAGCUUGGGUUGUGGGGUUUUUGCUUGUUUGUUUUUUAACUGAUUUUUGAGCUACUGCACUCUAUUGCAGGGAAACUGCUGGAAACACAGUAUCUAGCCAAAUGGCUCUUAAGCAUCCCUAUUUCUAAAUACAGUCAUUAUUAUUUACCAAAAAUAUAAGCUUAUUGCUUUCAACUCAUUAGCUGUUUGUAGUCAUUUCAAAAACUCUAACUAAUUGAUAUUGCAAGCUGAUUAGAAUAUGGUGUGCUUCGCUGACUGUAAAUCCAACAUUUAACAGUACAUACUACAUUUCUGGAGAUCAUACUCUACUCAUGAUAGGUUUCACAGAAAUCACAAAACAAGAACUUGAAAAAUGGAAAUAAUUCCGGGUUUAUGUAGGCUUUCAUACGAAUUUUCAAAGUACAGUUCCAGAUGAACUUUCAGUUGCUUAAUAUUCCUGAAGUUCUGGUCAUACUUACCUGUUGUUUUCAAAAAAACUCACUAGGUAGGGUCUUCUCUGUUAUGGGCGCAUAAGCAGGACCUGACUUGCACCUGUGGUCUCAGAAACUUUGGUGCUUCAUUCUGGCAGCUAUAAUAGGCCUGUUAUUUUUGAGAACUAAAUUCUCAAGUGACUUACCCAAGGUCACACAGGAAGUCCAUAGCAAGACUGAGUCUCAAUCCAUUUUUAAUCCUUGGGACUACCCGUGCAUUUGACUUGAUGUAGAGCCUUAAAGAGAAAGAACAGAUUUAUCAUUCAGCAGUUACUAUUCCUUUCUGUAUAAGUAUUUAAGCUCUUUCAUAUUUAUUGUCUUGAAAUACUUGCACUUCCAGCAAACAAGUAGCAAGAUGCAAAACUCAGUUUUUCUCUUUAGUCAUUUUUAAAUGGUAUUAAGAUAGUAUCUUCACUGGUGAUGUUUCCUGUCUGCAUAGUUAAUGUUUAUGUAAUGAUGUGCCAGAGAAGUAGGAUUUUGUCUUUGGAUGUUUUUUGCAUUCCCAAAUUUUAAGUUCAGUAGUGUGUAGGCAGACAAAAGUAAAACACACCAGGAUGAAACUGGCUUAAGACCUAUACUGUUAACCUCAACAUCCCUCCUCCAGUGCAUGGGGUGUUUAGAAAACUGUUUUCUUAGAGCUUAGUACCUGGGCAGAGAUAAUUUAAUCAGAUAUUGGUGUUCUUGGGACAGUAAUGACUAAAGAAGAGUCUCAGAAUGUGGCUAGUAUUUCUGCUAUUUGAACACAAUUGCUAGGUAAUUAAAAAAGCAUAAGUCUUCCUUAAAACAAAAAAUCCCUGUCUGAAAUCUUUAAUAACUAAAAUUCAAAAAAACCGACAAAAAACCAAGCAGACCACGGAGAGCAGAGGGAUGGAUGUCGUGAGUGGGCAGGGGUGCAUGGGUGAGGAAAAGAGCAUGUGUGGGAAGGAGGGAGGGUGGAAUACAGGGAAGGGAGUAGUCUGCUUCUCACUGACGGUUCUGUGCUUUAUUUCUGACUCGCCUUGGUGGCCUUUCAGGGAUUGAAGAAACUGGUCCCCCGUCUGCUGCAUGAGGAGAUCACAGUGGGAAAUAGCUUUGACCUCAGUUGACUAGAGACAUCUGUCCACAGCAUGUGUAUAGGAGAAAGCAAUAUGAAAUUACAAAACAUCACAAAUGUUGCAUGAUUGAAAAAGGCCUGGGGAAAUCUAUUCCAUCUGAAAAAGUGCAAACUAAAGAACAGAAAAGUCAGACCUAAAUUACAGGGAUCAGGUUGCUUUUUGCUAAACUGGUAGAUUAGACCUAAAGAAGCAGGUUGGGUUUUUUAUUUGUUUUCUAACCUUCACCCUCCCACAAUGUAACAUAACUUUUCUUAAUGCCCAAAAACUUAGCGAGAUGAGUUGUCCCUUUUUUCUUAAAUACACUUGGUUUAAAACAGUUUUCCUCAAUGCUGUGAGGAAUUCCUGCCUUCUGUCCUUUCAGGUAUGCAUCAGAUUUUCCUUCUUCCUACCUUCUAAUCCAUUUUAUUCUUUCUCUUAACUUACUGUAUGAUACCUACUGUAAGUCAUGUGAAGUUCUAGACUGGAAAAGGAGGUGCUACUCAGAAUCUGUAACCUGUUUAGUCUUCUGUUUUAUUUAUGUCUUUCCAUAGCCUUUCGUUUUUGGGGUUGUUUUUUUUUCCCUAGUAUUCCUGGUACAGCUGCUUGGAAAAUUUAAGCAAAGUAGAACUAGUCAUAUACUACUGGAUUCAUUCUUGUGUUAUUGUUCACAGGAAGGACCUAGGUACAGUUGGCCCCACGAAGAGCAUGAGGUGGUGGAUAAGGACUUUGAAGCAGAUUUGGAGCUGUAAUGACUGGCUUCCUUCCCUACUGCUGUCCCUUCCCCUUCCUUGCAAAGCGUUUUCAUUUGAAAAACUAAGGUGUGGUCAUCAGGCAUAUCUGUUCUCAACUUCCAGUAAUUUUUUGCUCACUUCUGAGCUACAUCAUAAUUACAUAUGCAAAUGUAGUAUUUUUUUCCCUCUUACCUUGUACAUGUGGGAGAGAAAGAUAAGGUUGCAGAGUACCACCAGGGAUGGUGCUGUUGUUGAGGUCGAGGAGGUGCUGCAGAUGGCCACAGGAGGAGAGAAGUACUUGUCCUGCAGAACAAGACUCACGGGGGAUUUCAGAACUUCUGUGACUCCAAAGGCAACGAGAAAACACUGUUCUUGCCAACUUUAAACUUUAGAUAGGAACUGAUUGUUGGAUGACUUAUAACAACCUAUUUUGGUACAUUCUUGCUACUGGGCGCUGAGAGUGAAUUUGCAUUUACAAUAGGAAUUUGUUUUGUGGACGUACAUGUAUAUAUAUAUAGCUACAUCAAAUAAUUUAACCUAUUAGGUUGGCUUGGAUGCUCUGUAUAGUAACACAAGAAAAACUUCUGUAGUGUUGUAAUGAUACUAAAAUCACAGAGACUAAUUCUAUGGGAGGGACUAUUCUGACAACUUCUGCCCUUCAUGGGAAGGCUUACC